rnacentral:misc_RNA from 1 species
AACCUAGCACACCUGCGGUGUGUACCUGCGGAAGGAUCAUUACCGAGUUUACAACUCCCAAACCCCUGUGAACAUACCAAUUGUUGCCUCGGCGGAUCAGCCCGCUCCCGGUAAAACGGGACGGCCCGCCAGAGGACCCCUAAACUCUGUUUCUAUAUGUAACUUCUGAGUAAAACCAUAAAUAAAUCAAAACUUUCAACAACGGAUCU